AUACAGAACUUUCAGUAUACAUUUCUUAAUCAUUCGGAACUCACUUUGUGUUAUUUCAGAAUUAGAGCCCCAUACCCUUUGACCUUCCAGAACUCAAGGUGAAAUCUUCGAAGGGAGCAGGGCGCAGGGAUGUUCACUGCUGAAUGGAACACGCCCCGUCACGUGGGUCGUGACGUUUCAGCGCUAUAAAAGCGGACGCUCCCUGUUCCUCGUCCUCUUUCGCCGCGCAACACGUGGAUAGGAUCGCCUCCUCAGGCACAAAGAAGCGUUUAGCGCGAUUAAAACACGUUUAUAAUGAAUUGCACGCGGAGAUACGAACACAGCGCCUUCAGACCACCUUGAUAAAAGCUGAAUUUAAUGCAUCGAGAUGAGGAUUGUCUGCUUCACUGUGUGCACAGUUCACUUAAAAGGUGAACGUCUGAAUCUGAUUCAGAGCUGAUCAGAUGGUGCAGAAACACCAUGAGGUCUCCUGCUUCACCUGGAUUCACAGCUGUGAACGUCUGAAUCUGAUUCAGUGCUGAUCAGAUGGAGCAGAAACACCAUGAGGUCUCCUGCUUCACCUGGAUUCACAGCUAAGCUGUGUUGGAGAGUGAUAUCAGAACAUGAAAAUAACUGAAGCUUUUUUUCUUUUUUAACCGUGUUUAUUAUCAAAUAAAGUGUAUCAAAAUGUC